rnacentral:ncRNA from 1 species
GAAAAUGUGUUGAAGAGGAUAGUUGACGAAUAUAAGUGAGACAGAGAGGUUUUAUUGCUGAGAGAAACCGAUAAACCCGUCAGCAUCUCGCCUCUGAACAGUAAAAGUGAAAUUUAUUUUAGAUAGCUUUUGAUGGCCAUCCACCAUUAUCCGGAUCAAUAUUGCAGUCUUCGCAAUAUUUUAAGGUCUUGUUUAUUAAAUGACGAGACAAAGAUAGGUGGUACCGCGCAAAAAACGCCCUAUGA